rfam:Burkholderia sp. Bk sc_013, whole genome shotgun sequence.
CCGCACGCGUCGGGAGAGCGCGCGGGCCGCUGAUUUUCGCAGGCCGCGCCGCCGAAGGGGCACACCCGCAAACUCUCAGGCAAAAGGACCGAACGCGUCGAA